AUGAAUCCGCACACCUCCACUUCCGACCGUCGAGCAACUACCAUGGUGAUGUCAGCCACAACUUCAUGGCUUUCUCGGAUCUGCCACCGUCGACCGCGCCGAUCCGUCUACCAUCAUCAAACAACAACUGUGGAUCAACCUUCGCAUCACCACCCACAAAAGUGUUCUCAUGAUUUUGAUAUUAUUUACAUUUAA